rnacentral:rRNA from 1 species
AGAGUUUGAUCCUGGCUCAGGACGAACGCUGGCGGCGUGCUUAACACAUGCAAGUCGAACGAGAGGAGAAGAGAAGCUUGCUUCUUUUCGAAUCGAGUGGCAAACGGGUGAGUAACACGUAAACAACCUGCCUUCAGGAUGGGGACAACAGACGGAAACGACUGCUAAUACCGAAUACGCUCAAAGGGCCGCAUGGCCUAUUGAGGAAAGGGUGGCCUCUACCUGUAAGCUAUCGCCUGAAGAGGGGUUUGCGUCUGAUUAGGCAGUUGGUGAGGUAACGGCCCACCAAACCUACGAUCAGUAGCCGGUCUGAGAGGAUGAACGGCCACACUGGAACUGAGACACGGUCCAGACUCCUACGGGAGGCAGCAGUGGGGAAUCUUCCGCAAUGGGCGAAAGCCUGACGGAGCAACGCCGCGUGAGUGAUGACGGCCUUCGGGUUGUAAAGCUCUGUGAUCGGGGACGAACGGUUGCAGGAAUAAUACUCCUGUGAAGUGACGGUACCCGAAUAGCAAGCCACGGCUAACUACGUGCCAGCAGCCGCGGUAAUACGUAGGUGGCAAGCGUUGUCCGGAAUUAUUGGGCGUAAAGCGCGCGCAGGCGGCUUCCUAAGUCCAUCUUAAAAGUGCGGGGCUUAACCCCGUGAUGGGAUGGAAACUGGGAAGCUGGAGUAUCGGAGAGGAAAGUGGAAUUCCUAGUGUAGCGGUGAAAUGCGUAGAGAUUAGGAAGAACACCGGUGGCGAAGGCGACUUUCUGGACGACAACUGACGCUGAGGCGCGAAAGCGUGGGGAGCAAACAGGAUUAGAUACCCUGGUAGUCCACGCCGUAAAC